rnacentral:lncRNA from 1 species
GGCCUCGAAACUCUCUCCGAAAAUCCAGCGGACCCUCGCGACGUUUCAACUUCUCGGUGCAUUUAAAAGAGAAAAAAGGGGGGGGAAUUCGAGGUUUCGUCAUUAAGCCCGAACGGGCCUAAAUGGGCCUCGAAACUCUCCCAGAUAUCCAGCGGACCCUCGCGACGGUUCGGCUUCUCGUCUAAAUCGGACGUCGGUCAUCUUAAAAUCAGAAUAAACCAAUGGUUAAUCUAGAUAUGUCAAUCGGGAUCUGAUUAUCCGCGACUAAUCGGCCUCAAGCAGAAAUAUUCCAGAACCCUCCAUGCGACACAACGAUCAAAAGGAGCGAUAAAGCCUCUACUGCUCGCUUCCGAGAGAACGACACCAUGCGACUCAUCGACCAACCGCUCCAACUUUUCGACAGGCCUUCUAUUCCCUCAAACCUUCAAACCUUCAAACCUUAGAAUCCACACGAGCCA